rnacentral:lncRNA from 10 species
GCAGCUCAAUCACCAAUCACUUGGAACAUCAGAUGCCCUGACCUUCCGGGAAACCCUCGGUGAGAGGCCCACAGCCUCGCUUCUAGGGUCACCACUGCUUCUUCCAGUCUAGCCAAACAGCUCCUAGUACAGCUCAGAGCACCCUGCAAGGAGGGCACGUGUUAAAUCGAGGAGCACACAUGCUCCACGAGGAAUUCUUUGCUUUGAGGCCAUGCACAGAGGUGGGUUCACUAUGAAGCUUGUGAAAUAAGCUUCAGGGCCCGCAUUUGCAUGGGCCACAGAGAGUCUGGGAGCUGCAGAAGGUUCAAGGGAAGAGGAGCCAUCACAAGCAGAAUAUUCUAGAAGGCAUUUCUGGCAAAUGGCCCAAAGAGGCCUCAGGAGAAAAGAACUUGAGUCUUCAAGGAUGCAAUGAGAAGGCACCAUCUGUGAGGAACAGGCCUCCGACAGACACCGAAUUUGCUGGCACUUUGAUCUUGGACUUCCCAGCCUCCAAAAUUAUCCAUAAUGGAUUCCUGGGACAUUUUCAGAUCUCCUUCCAGCUUCCUCUUCGCCCUUUCCAAGUCCGCCCGCAGUUUCUUCUCCUGCUCUAAGGAACCCUCAAGCUGAGAAGACACACAGAAGACCCAGAAGUCCAGCUUUGAAGAAAACCUGGAGAAAGAGAGAGUCACAAAUCAUCUCCAUACUGCAGGAGAUGCAGAAAUGGCAGAAGAAUAUUGAGUAUCACUUUAGAAUAUAUUAAACAACCUAUCAAGAUUAAUGAGCUUAUUCAGAAAAGAAAAUAAGUCCUGAUCAAUUUCAGCGUGUUUGGACCAGCAGAUUCCAGGUGAUGGAUAGGCAGCUUCAUUUUAAUAGUCUGUUGGUACAGGGUGACCUGUAGCCUUUCCAGAAGAGGUAAAAUGAAUCCUCCGGUUGUCACCCCCUCCUUCCUCGCUCCAAUUCCAUCAUUAAUCCCCGUUUGAGGAUUUGAGUGCUGCCGAGGACUGACAGACUCCAUGAGGUUCAGCUGCUGCCUGGUACAUGUGGUCACCUGCAGCUUCUUCAGCCCUACAUAUAUUUUGUGCUGUUUUAGACUGCUCUUUCUUCCAUUAAAUGAGAGAUUAGAUCUGAAUGGCCACGUGAUCUUCUGAGUCCCAUCUGUAAGAAUCUGCAUUUCCACGGAAUUGGGGGAGCAAACGUUCUCAAAACAUUCUUAAAUGCAAACCCGCAGGCACAGCAUGUGUCUGUCAACUCCAAGAGCAUUUGGAUGUUCGAAGGGAGAGGAUGUUUGACAUCUAACCCGUCGUGGAAAGAGGAGCCUCUACAGUGACAUGAAGGCAAUGGAUUCUCAGCAUUACAAGGCAAGACAGAACUUGAAGGAAGAAGGCUGGGAGGAAACCAAUGUUGAAUGAACACUGACUCUGUGCUCAGCCCUGAGCAAGCAGUGGAAUGCCCCUGGGCUGUGAGCCACGAAUUCAAAUCCCAGCUUGUAGAGCUGUUCUGGGGGUUAGAAGUUUGGGGUCCCUCGUUGCUGCACUCGUUCCAGGUUUGGGGCUGGCGCUGCCCUUCUGACCCCUCCCUAAAGUGGACACAGGAGAAGGAGCGGGGAGAAGAGACAGGCGGCCAGGAGACACCCUGUUGAGGGCUCCCUCUGCUUGCAACAGGACCUGCUGAGGUUGCAGCUGAAGUGCUGGUCUUCCCAGAGAAAACAACCCCUCAUUCUCAAAGGAUGAGAGUGAGCCCUGCGGGGCUGCAUGCUCUUGGCCAUGGGAGAUCAACUGUGGUCACAUAGAGUGUAAUCAGUGUGUAUUUAUGGAUCACUCACUACAUGCAAGACCGGGACACAGCCGGGAUUUACUGUGGGGCUGAAAGCAAGUCACUUAAAAAGGUAAAAAUUCAUGUCCUUUUAAUCUACUUUUCAGCAAGGAACAUCACGUCUGAAUGCUCGCGGCCUCUGCCUGCCCCGUGGGAUGGUGCUGGAAAUUAUACUCAUAUUUAGAUAGCAUUCUCUGCAAGUGGCUGCUGUUGUCCUUCCAUCGUCAGCACAGGCAGAUGCUGGGAGUACCCACCUUGGGGUGAGGUGGCAAGAGAGGGCCAGCUUGUAUCCGCCUCGUUGUCGUCCUUCCUUCCUGACUUGACUCUCUCCUCUGUGGCCUUCUCAGGAGUGGGAUGUGGUUGUGAGGAGAAUGUGCACUUUACCCCUCACCAGUCCAGAGAGGGGCACAUAGCCCAAACCUCUCCCCUUCCCAGAAACCUGCAAGUCCCCCUGGGUGCGCCUGUGUGAUGAGGCAGGCUCCGAGAGCCACAGGCUGGUGGGCCACUAGGAAGCAGUAAAGGAAGACAUUUUAUGAUUGUAGCUGGAGAUAAUGAAUUGAAAAGCUGGUCUCUGUUUCUGGAAAUGAUGCCAGGAGGCCCUCAAAAUAAACGCCCACCUGUCCUUCAGGUCUCAACACCUGUUGCUCUUGGGACAGAGAUCCCAGGCCCAAAAUAGGCACAGCUGCUAUGGAUGCUCGUCUUGCCCUCCUGGAGCUGAGACUGGGCCAUGUUUGGAAAUAUGUCUCCCUCCAUCCCCUCCUCCCAUCCUCAUUUGGAGCCUUAGGGCUUUAAGACGUGAGCUCUUUCCUCGCUCCCUCUCCCCAGUCUUUCUUGGGUAUCUCUGCUCCUCCCAUCACCUGUUCCUGGGCAUGGCAUAGGCAGUUGGUAAAUGACAGAUGAAUGAAUACAUGUACAAGGAAACACAGAUCUGAAAUUUCUAGCAGCAAAGUUUGGAGCAGGAAGCUCUGGCUGGCCCUGGGCUUUUUGCUAAGGGUGUUCUGGCUUCGCGUGGCAGCACCCCUCCCCACCGGGCCUUUGCCAGGACGCUCGAUCCUCUCUUCGGGCUUCUGAGCAGUGUGAAUUGCAAACAGCCAUGCCCACUCCCCAGGCCAAGAAAACCAAGUUCAUGGCCAGGAUUGCUCACAAAAAAAAAAAAAAAAAAAGAACCACUUCUGCCUUAUCAUUCUCUCUUUAUUACCGAAAUGCGGAGACAGAAAGUCAACAGAGAAAGAAUUGUUUUCCCCAAGGCCACACAGAUUGCUCCAACACUUGACUUUUCCUGCUAGGAACUCAAUCCAAGAGAUGGGCUUUCUUUUGUUCUCUGACUAUAAAAGGGUGUCACCUUGUCACCAUCUUCUAUCACACAGGACCCCUAUGGGCUUGGUUUGGUUUUGUUCUUUCAUCAUUAUUAUUUGGAAAGUUAUAUUUCCUUUACUGUCCUUGAGGUGUGAGGCUUCACCUCAUCUUGUCUCCAUAUCCCUGAGUCACUAAGGAGUCCUAUGUCAAUGACACCUCUCCAUAUGCUUUACCUAAGCUGCCCCUUCUCUCAGCAAGUUCGCGCCAGGCUUCCCCAUGAAGGCCACCUAAGGGUGUCUAUCGUCCCCCUCCUAAAUCUCCCCAGGACUUUUGAACAAGGGCCAUGUCCAGUUUAAUGUCACACAAAGAAGACUCAUCAAAGCCCAGGAGUUGGGAGUUCUUGCUCCUCACUGCCAUGGAAAGCAUGAAACAUCUGAGAUAAAAAUAAUCUGUGCCAUCCCCUGGCUCCGGAUGGACAGCAGUUGGGGCAUGAGCGCCUCCAGAAUGUCUCAGCAUUGCUGAGGGUAACCGGAUCGCCGCUCAGAUCCAGCAGGCAGCCUCAGAACCUCCCAGCUGCUGUUGUUUUUAGCACCGGGAUUAUUGGUAGGGGUGUAAAUAGACAUCUGUGUUCUGGGUGGCUCGCUCACCCCACAUUCCUAGGCACACUUGUUUUAUUAAAGCUCUCAGCUGUCGGGUGAUCCAGGCGUGGAGAAAUGAAAGGCCGCCCUCACCAGCUGGUGGUGGACUGCAAACUGCAACCAGUUUUCCCCCAUAAGGACAUGUUACUCCUAUUAGAAACUGUGUCCCUCACAUGUCCUUAAGAAGCGGGCCAUCUGCCAAUCAUAAAUCGAGAUCUCAGCCGUUCCAAAUAAAGAAAGAGUCUACCCUCCUUGCUGGCAGUCCUUUUAUAGUUGACAGAUUUUUUUUUUUAAUCUUGUGCUUGGCCAUGUAUUUCUUGUGUAAUUAAAAAAUUAUAAAAGGUAAUAAAAAAUACAAAUCCACUGCUAAGAGAUUUAAGACUCAAUAAAAAUUUCAGAAAGCCAGAGGUUUCUGGAUAGUAUGAGGAUUACAAGGAGAAGGUUAAUAAAUUCCAUGUCCCAACACCAGAAAAAAAGAAUAAAAGAGAAAAAACAAGGCUAUUUAUGAAAAGGAAAAGUAAUUAGAAAUGGCCCUUAAUGGCUGAGUGUGGUGGCUCAUACCUGUAAUCCCAGCACCUUGGGAGGCCGAGGCGGGUGGAUCACCUAAGGUCAGAAGUUCGAGAUCAUUCUGGCCAACAUGGUAAAACCCCGUCUCUACUAAAAAUACAAAAAAAUUAGCCAGGCAUGGUGGCGUGUGCCUGUAGUCCCAGCUACCUGGGAGGCUGAGGCAUGAGAAUUGCUUGAAACCGGGUGGCAAAAGUUGCACUGAGCCAAGAUCGCACCACUGCGCUCCAGCCUGGGUGACAGAGUGAGACUCCUUCUCAAUAAAAAUAAAAAAUAUAAUAAGAAAUGGUCCUUAAUUUGGAGAGGCUCACCCAAAAAAGUGAGCCUGAAGAGAAGGCGCCCUUCAUUCUUUUGCCACCCUGUUCUGGAGCCCAUGUACGAAAGAGCCAGUGGAUAUUGCAAAUGAGCUAAAGUCACCCAAGUUCCUACUGAAUGGUCAAAGGUCCUAUCUUAAGAGAGGCUCUCUGAGGAUGGGGUGGGCUGAGGUGGUGGACAAGAGGAGGGUUAUAGAGAAACACCUGGAGGACGCUAACAGAAACAGUCGAUCAUCAAAAAGAAAACACGAAGCACGCUUUGGGUUCUAUCAGCCCAGUUUCAACACAGCUUUACCCUGUGCGCCAGCUCUUUUGAGGGAUUUCGCCUGUCUAUGUGGCCGGCUGCCCCGGUAGAAGGUUAGUACUUUGUAGGGUAAAGGAGUCUUAGGAUCUAGAGAGAAUCCAGCUCUGCCAUUUUGACCUUGAACAAAUCACUGAGUUUCGUCUUUUCAUCUGUAAAGUGGGUGAUAAGGUCCAUCUCCUCAUCGCCAAGUCUGUAUGCUGAGGGCACGAGAGAGUGCAUGCCAAGUGCACAUGGGUGGAGUUCAGUAAAUAGUGGCUGAUCUCAUCCUCCUCCUCUCCAUGGUCGGAGGAGACCCCCUCUCUGGCUCGUGUGGCACGGCAGCUCCUGAUUUGGAAUGGAAUUGGUGCUUUCAUUUUUUGCUUCUUAAUAACACAGCUUACAUUUUCUAUAGUCGUGGGCAUCCUUUUUUUAUGGAAUAAAUGAACAUGGGUGACUUUGGUCAUAAUAUUCACUCUUAGAAAAUGAAUCUUUUCAUUUAUAUCCUUCACAAAAUCAGAGCCUAAUAGAAAUAGUCACAGGUCACUUCCAGCACCAAACUCCGCACCUUCUCCUUUGUGGGAAAUGUCACACUUUGCCAAUAAGUGGACACAGGGGGUUCCACGGCCCCAGGUAUUUUCAAGUGCAGAGGCACUCCAGUUCUGCAUAAAAUGCAUCAGGGGCCUCUUUUAUUAAUUCUUUAAGUCAUAAGUUCUGUAAAAUAAGUUUACUUCAACGAUCUCUCGCUUACUCUUCCUUUCUGGUAUGUACAUAUUUUACCACCUUUUUUUUUUCUUUUUGAGACAGAGUCUUGCUCUGUCUCCAGGCCGGAGUGCAGUGGUGUGAUCUUGGCUCACUGCAACCUCCGCCUCCUGGGUUCAAGCGAUUCUCCUGCCUC